rnacentral:rRNA from 1 species
AUUAGUGGGGGACAACGUUCCGAAAGGAGCGCUAAUACCGCAUACGUCCUACGGGAGAAAGCAGGGGACCUUUGGGCCUUGCGCUAAUAGAUGAGCCUAAGUCGGAUUAGCUAGUUGGUAGGGUAAAGGCCUACCAAGGCGACGAUCUGUAGCGGGUCUGAGAGGAUGAUCCGCCACACUGGGACUGAGACACGGCCCAGACUCCUACGGGAGGCAGCAGUGGGGAAUAUUGGACAAUGGGGGGAACCCUGAUCCAGCCAUGCCGCGUGUGUGAAGAAGGCCUUUUGGUUGUAAAGCACUUUAAGCGAGGAGGAGGCUACCUAGAUUAAUACUUUAGGAUAGUGGACGUUACUCGCAGAAUAAGCACCGGCUAACUCUGUGCCAGCAGCCGCGGUAAUACAGAGGGUGCGAGCGUUAAUCGGAUUUACUGGGCGUAAAGCGUGCGUAGGCGGCCAAUUAAGUCAAAUGUGAAAUCCCCGAGCUUAACUUGGGAAUUGCAUUCGAUACUGGUUGGCUAGAGUAUGGGAGAGGAUGGUAGAAUUCCAGGUGUAGCGGUGAAAUGCGUAGAGAUCUGGAGGAAUACCGAUGGCGAAGGCAGCC